rnacentral:rRNA from 1 species
GAUGAAUGCUGGCGGCGUGCCUAAUACAUGCAAGUCGAGCGAACGGACGAGAAGCUUGCUUCUCUGAUGUUAGCGGCGGACGGGUGAGUAACACGUGGAUAACCUACCUAUAAGACUGGGAUAACUUCGGGAAACCGGAGCUAAUACCGGAUAAUAUUUUGAACCGCAUGGUUCAAAAGUGAAAGACGGUCUUGCUGUCACUUAUAGAUGGAUCCGCGCUGCAUUAGCUAGUUGGUAAGGUAACGGCUUACCAAGGCAACGAUGCAUAGCCGACCUGAGAGGGUGAUCGGCCACACUGGAACUGAGACACGGUCCAGACUCCUACGGGAGGCAGCAGUAGGGAAUCUUCCGCAAUGGGCGAAAGCCUGACGGAGCAACGCCGCGUGAGUGAUGAAGGUCUUCGGAUCGUAAAACUCUGUUAUUAGGGAAGAACAUAUGUGUAAGUAACUGUGCACAUCUUGACGGUACCUAAUCAGAAAGCCACGGCUAACUACGUGCCAGCAGCCGCGGUAAUACGUAGGUGGCAAGCGUUAUCCGGAAUUAUUGGGCGUAAAGCGCGCGUAGGCGGUUUUUUAAGUCUGAUGUGAAAGCCCACGGCUCAACCGUGGAGGGUCAUUGGAAACUGGAAAACUUGAGUGCAGAAGAGGAAAGUGGAAUUCCAUGUGUAGCGGUGAAAUGCGCAGAGAUAUGGAGGAACACCAGUGGCGAAGGCGACUUUCUGGUCUGUAACUGACGCUGAUGUGCGAAAGCGUGGGGAUCAAACAGGAUUAGAUACCCUGGUAGUCCACGCCGUAAACGAUGAGUGCUAAGUGUUAGGGGGUUUCCGCCCCUUAGUGCUGCAGCUAACGCAUUAAGCACUCCGCCUGGGGAGUACGACCGCAAGGUUGAAACUCAAAGGAAUUGACGGGGACCCGCACAAGCGGUGGAGCAUGUGGUUUAAUUCGAAGCAACGCGAAGAACCUUACCAAAUCUUGACAUCCUUUGACAACUCUAGAGAUAGAGCCUUCCCCUUCGGGGGACAAAGUGACAGGUGGUGCAUGGUUGUCGUCAGCUCGUGUCGUGAGAUGUUGGGUUAAGUCCCGCAACGAGCGCAACCCUUAAGCUUAGUUGCCAUCAUUAAGUUGGGCACUCUAAGUUGACUGCCGGUGACAAACCGGAGGAAGGUGGGGAUGACGUCAAAUCAUCAUGCCCCUUAUGAUUUGGGCUACACACGUGCUACAAUGGACAAUACAAAGGGCAGCGAAACCGCGAGGUCAAGCAAAUCCCAUAAAGUUGUUCUCAGUUCGGAUUGUAGUCUGCAACUCGACUACAUGAAGCUGGAAUCGUUAGUAAUCGUAGAUCAGCAUGCUACGGUGAAUACGUUCCCGGGUCU